rnacentral:lncRNA from 1 species
UCAUAAGAGUGAGUUAAGAAAUCAAUUUUAGCUUCUCGUACCUGGUCGGUUCCUUUGUAUGUUACUUCAAGCUUAUCCCACAUUUCUUUUGCUGUUUUGUAACAUGAUAUCUUCCUGUAGUCGUUAGCAUUAACAGCACAAUAUAAUAGAUUUAUAGCUUUGGCAUUAUUUUGAAACUUACGAAUAUCCUCCGCGGUAUAUUCCACUUCGGUCUUUGGAACCCAUUCGUCUUCCACCUUCUUGGUUGGGAUUUGGUUUCCAUUGGUGAAUACUUUCCACAAAUGAAAGCUAUUUGAUUGNNNN